UGUGUGUGUGUGUGUGUGUGUGUGUGUGUGUGUGUGAACACACAUAAACGUACACAAUACACACAUAUA